rnacentral:rRNA from 1 species
CCUACGGGGGGCAGCAGCAAGGAAUUUUCCCCAAUGGGCGCAAGCCUGAGGGAGCAACGCCGCGUGCGGGACGACGGCCUUCGGGUUGUAAACCGCUUUUCGUGGGGACGAUGGUGACGGUACCCGCGGAAUAAGCCCCGGCUAACUCUGUGCCAGCAGCCGCGGUAAGACAGAGGGGGCAAGCGUUGUCCGGACUGACUGGGCGUAAAGCGCGCGCAGGCGGCGUCGGGCGUCGGUGCUGAAAGUCCACCGCUUAACGGUGGGAAGCGUGCCGAUACGCCGACGCUGGAGGAUGGGCGAGGGUGGUGGAAUUGCCGGUGUAGUGGUGAAAUGCGUAGAGAUCGGCAGGAACACCCGUGGUGAAAACGGCCACCUAGCCCAUACCUGACGCUGAGGCGCGACAGCGUGGGGAGCGAACGGGAUUAGAUACCCUUGUAGU